UAACCACACCUUUUGACACUACUAAAGGCAGUUUUUGCUAGCAAUCUUAGAGUACCAUGUUAUCAUUGUCCUUGUUGACUAAGUUUCAUUUCUACUUGAGUUAUAAUGAGCCAGCCUUAACAACAAUGACUUUUAGUGCACUAAAGUUUUUAAUGAGAGAAACAAUUCCAUUAAACUUGCCUUGUACUUUGUAGGUUUUCUUGGUUAAUCCUCUUUAAUAACCAUGAUUGGCUGUAAAUUUGGUCAACUUAGCUACUUUGACUGAUUUACAUGUUAGAAUAUUUGGCCUGAUCAAUGUAAAUUCUAGAGGGUUUGCAAAGGUGGUAAGCUGAUUGCCUUUUUCUUUAUGUCAUGCAGUAUGAUGACAUGCCCAUAGAUGCUUUAAUGGAACUCGUGCAACAAAUUGUUGCAUUUCACAUGAAGCAUAAUGCGGAGCCAGAAGCUGUAGAUCUUCUGAUGGAGGUGGAAGAUCUUGAUCUAUUGAUUGAGCACGUUGAUGCUACAAAUUACAAAAGGGCAUGCUUGUAUCUUACUAGUUCUUCUAGACUACAGGCCUUUACAAUAUAAUUGCUCACGAGCAUGGUUUUGAAAACUGACUUGAACCGCUUGGGUCUUGCUAUAGGGAGCUGUACCGGCAUCGAAUCGGAUCGGUUCAGUCCUUAUUUUCGGCAUCUAAAAAUAAAAAAAGUAUUAUGAACCGUCCGGUUCGGGCUUGAACUGGGUAGCUCGGCUCAUAUUGGGCUGAUUUUAUGUCUGGGACAUAGAGAAGAAGUCUUUCGAGACUUCUCUGUGAUUCUCAAUCUCUCUCUCUCUUUCUCACUUUCUAGCACCGAGAGCAAUAGGAAAACUCUAGGAAAAUGUGGAUUAAAGGUAUGUUUCUUCUUAGCUCUCUUUCCUCUCUUCCCCUCUUCUUUUUUUCUUUCUGAAAAUUCAUGAAAAAUAGAAAAACAAGGUAUCAGAGUGAUUAUUUAGGAUAUCUAAUCUAUAUAUUGAUUAUUUAGGAUGCUAAAUAAAAUAAUGUCAUAUUUUGAUUUGUGUCACAUGUGAUUAAAGGUGUAUCGUAGUGAUAUGAAUAUUAAUUAAUAUCACUAAAUAUCAAUUUGGACUUCAAAACAUUCAAUAAUUCAUAAAAAUUUGAUUGGACAAUCCAAAAAAAAAAAUCUAAAAAAAUUAGCAUGCUGGUUUAGCCGGCACGCCUACCAUAUCAUGUGUCGGUAUGGUACCGAACUGGCUGGUGACUGGUACGGCUAUCGGUAUCGGUUUUCAGAACCUUGCUCACAAGAA